UACGAAGGGGGCUAGCGUUGUUCGGAGUUACUGGGCGUAAAGGGCGCGUAGGCGGCGCACCAAGUCAGGCGUGAAAGCCCUGGGCUCAACCCGGGAAUUGCGCUUGAGACUGGUGUGCUUGAGUACGGGAGAGGAUAGUGGAAUUCCCAGUGUAGAGGUGAAAUGCGCAGAUAUCAGGAGGAACACCGGUGGCGAAGGCGGGUCUCUGGGCCGAUACUGACGCUGAGGAGCGAAAGCGUGGGGAGCGAACAGG
rnacentral:rRNA from 1 species